UACAUAAAGCCAGUCUGCGCAUAACCGC
rnacentral:sRNA from 1 species